rnacentral:sRNA from 1 species
UGCAUCUGCAGCUCAUGAGGAUGAGAACCUCCGGGGGCAGGGAGGUUCGACUCGAGCGAAGCGAGAGAACGUUGCGCCAGCAACGGCCCGCA